AUUGAACGCUGGCGGCAUGCCUUACACAUGCAAGUCGAACGGCAGCAUGGAGAGCUUGCUCUCUGAUGGCGAGUGGCGAACGGGUGAGUAAAGCAUCGGAACGUACCGUGUAGUGGGGGAUAACGUAGCGAAAGUUACGCUAAUACCGCAUACGCACUGAGGUGGAAAGCAGGGGAUCGCAAGACCUUGCGCUAUACGAGCGGCCGAUGUCAGAUUAGCUAGUUGGUAGGGUAAAGGCCUACCAAGGCGACGAUCUGUAGCGGGUCUGAGAGGAUGAUCGGCCACGCUGGGACUGAGACACGGCCCAGACUCCUACGGGAGGCAGCAGUGGGGAAUUCUGGACAAUGGGGGCAACCCUGAUCCAGCCAUGCCGCGUGAGUGAAGAAGGCCUUCGGGUUGUAAAGCUCUUUCGGCCGGGAAGAAAUCGCACAGGCUAAUACUCUGUGUGGAUGACGGUACCGGCAUAAGAAGCACCGGCUAACUACGUGCCAGCAGCCGCCGCUG
rnacentral:rRNA from 1 species